CUUGCAAGCAGGUUGAAUAGAGCUGACGAUGAAAAUCUUGCUUUAUCAGUUGUUUGUGAGCGUAAACGGAAAACUCUCAACGAAAGGCUUUAAUAGGAGCCAACUAUACCAAAUGAACUCUACUAAAUAUUGGAAAAGAAUUUGUAAGACUGAAAUCAGAGAUCUCUGCAUGAUAUAAGACUGAAAAAUCUUCCUAAGAUUUAAUUGGAUGCAUUUUGAAGCUAUCCUCAUGGAAACUGAAAACUCUACCUGUGGCCUAAUGAUAUUAAAAUUGCACAUUCUCUGUAUGCUUUGAGGCUAAAAAAUACAAAAAUGUCAUUCGAAUUUGGUGGGCUAAACAUGUAAUGUUUGAUCACAAGUAUGUAUGAAGAAUCGUUUACAUCGUUUCAUUUUUCCCUUCUUAAAAUAUGAAAUUUUGUAGGCAUGCCUCUGAUUAUUAAUGUGUGAUUAUUUUGAUGAAUUAUAUAUCAGACAGAAUAAAAAAAAUAUAUAGAAGUAUUUUUUUUUUAAUUUCAAAAUGUUUAUGCAUAUUAAGACAUUGUUAUUACAAGAAUAAUUACUUAUUUAGAAAUGAAGAUACUUUAUGAAAUUGUUCAUCUCCAAUUGCUGAUCCAAGAUGUAAAAAAAUAUAAGACAGUAUUAACUGUAGAGCAGCUUUAUAUUUUUGAUCUAAUGGCAUUGCGGAAAAAUGAUCGAAAAUUAAAUAGUUUUAGAAAGUGCAUAGAUAAAUUGCAGUUCCAGUGUGAUUGGUAUUAUAGUUCACUAGUCUAUUUUCUUUUUUUAGCCUUACAAAGCUUAAGAUGAAAAUAAUGUAUUGAUGAUUAGUUUCCUUCAUAAAACAUGUUGAGCUUAAAAAAUUAUCUACAUUGCCUUUUUUAUAUAUAGUAUCAUUGCACUACUCAUUCUUUGGUUGAGUAAAAAUUAGUUUUCAUUGAAAAAAUUUUCCUGGCAUGGAGAAUUUGUAUUAUUUUUAAAAGUCUACAUGAUAAAUUUGAUGGCACUUUCGAUAAUUACAUAGAAAAUUCAUUUGACAUGAAUGAUGAAUAAUAAAUAUGAAUAAUUUAAUAUUUUUUACAUAUAGGCUUAAUAAAUUUGUUACCAGCUUUUAAAAUUAGAAAAGCAAAAUAUCAUUGUUAACAUGUAAAACAUUUCUGAAACAUGAAUCGGAAAGAAACUUUUCAUGUAUAUAUAGCUUAUGUUUUUUAAUUUAACCCUUUGCACUCCUAUAUCAAGUGUAACUUUCCAUAUUCUGAAAAAUACACCAUUUUCAUUUCUUGUUAGGUAAUGAAUAAUAUAGAAGAUUUUUAAUAGCAAAAACAAACACAUUACUUUUUUGGAAUCAUAACAAACCUAUAUUUUUCAAUGUCCAAAGCACUAAAAGUAAUUCUUACAUUCAUGUGCAUAAUUAUGCACCUCAUUAAUUUUUCGUGUGCAAAGAAUUGAUUCUGACAACAUUCAGUGUAUCAAAAUUUUAAUUUCACAUUGAGAAGCUAGCCGCAUACUAGUAAAGAUUGAUAUUAAUGUUUUAUCUGUAUUUUUAUUUUUAAGUGUUAAUCAGAUGCUAUUUGUGAUGCAUUCUUAAUCAUUGUGAUCAGAUUUAAAUUGAGGGGUCCAUUAUUUGAUGAAUGUUAGUUAACUUGCAUUGUAGUUAUUUAAAUAUUUAAUUUGUUUUCAUUAUCAGAGUAAGUGCAUGUCAUUUUUUUAAGGCAUCAGAAUUUAGACCAAAUAAAGAAAGAUGUUGCACAUUGGGAUAAUUUAUUUAUUUUUUAACUUUGCUAUGCAUUAAAAUUUUGCCUUCCAAAUUAAAUCAAUUUAAUCAUUUUAAAAAUUAUUGUAUUAUUCAGGAGCAUAAGAUAGUUUUUUUUUUUAUUUGUAUCUUUGGAAGUGUAACCCAGCACAAUACUAUGUUCUUUGCUGCUAAGGACGGAUAUUAAACUAAACACUUUAAAAAGAUAAAUCAGGAGAAAAUAUAUAUUUAACAACUUCAUUAAUAACUAAAUAUCACAAUUAUUAUUAUCUGCAGUUUUGUCACUUUUGGCAAUCUGAAGAAUUUAUUACCUUCUUUUCUAAACAAUAUUAUUUAGGAAAUAUAUAUAUAUAUAUAAUGUGUCUGCAUGUAAUAAAGUGGAUCAAUUUAUGUGUUUUAUAACAGAAUUCUACUUUUCCUGUGAACACUGUUUUUUCUAUGGAUAUCUUGAGGAAUAACAUGUUAUUUGUUCCAAAGUACUGCAGUGAGCUUUCCAAUAAAAUGUAGUAUUGAAAUA